AAUCAAAUGGCAUUAGAUUUAGAACAACUUCUAAAUCAUCGUGAGGAAUUGGCAGCAAUGAAACAGAUUCUCGUUAAGAUGCAUAGUAAACAUUCUGAGAACAGCUUACUUCUCACUAAAACAGAACCAAAACAUGUGACAGAAAAUCAGAAAUCAAAGACUUUGAAUGUGCCUAAAGAGCAUGAAGACAAUAUAUUUACACCUAAACCAACACUCUUUACUAAAAAAGAAGCACCUGAGUGGUCUAAGAAACAAAAGAUGAAGACCUAGUGUUUUGGAUGGGAAGCACCUGUAGACCAUUAUAUACUCCUGAAGUUCUUUUUCUGAUGGAAAACAAAAUUCAGCUUAAUCGUGUACUCAGCAUUUUUUAAAUAACAAUGUUUAUUUGAACUAAUAUUAAAUUAACAAAUUCAGUGUAAUCAAAAUGUGUAAAGAACAAUCAAUAUACUUUAUUUUUUUUUCUAUUUUAUAAAAUAAAUAUAUAUGCUAUGCUUUAAAUUUUGGAGCUUUCAUAAAUGUUCAAUGCAUUUU
rnacentral:lncRNA from 1 species